UACGUAGGUGGCAAGCGUUGUCCGGAUUUAUUGGGUUUAAAGGGUGCGUAGGCGGUUUCAUAAGUCAGUGGUGAAAUACGGCAGCUCAACUGUCGAGGUGCCAUUGAUACUGUGAGACUUGAGUACAGACGAGGUAGGCGGAAUUGACGGUGUAGCGGUGAAAUGCUUAGAUAUCGUCAAGAACACCGAUAGCGAAGGCAGCUUACUAGGCUGUAACUGACGCUGAGGCACGAAAGUGUGGGGAUCAAACAGG
rnacentral:rRNA from 1 species